AUCGUGACCAGAGAUAGCUACAAUCUAGACUUGUUCCCUUUUUUUUCCUUGUAUUCUCUUGAGUUCUUUUUCUUUAUCAUUGAAGUCAUUGGAUUAAGUCUAUUCAACUUGUAACAUAAGUUAGUGGUAGAUUUUUAAAAAAAUGAAAUAUCUCCUAGUGAUUGUUUUGAUUCUAAGUCUCGCAGUUUUUGGUAAGGCUGCUGUCAUAGACACGUCAACUACCACACAGAGCAGUACGACACAGAUCACUUGCCCACGUUUGCCUUGCCCCUGGACAGGAUUCUGUACUCAGACUGAGCCCACCUACUACUACUACCAUGGCAUCAAGUGCCGAGGCUGUGACAAGUGCAUUGAUUGAUGACAUUGUUUGCAGCCAAUCGAACGUUGUAUGAGGUGCUCGCCAAGUCUUUACAGAACAUAUAUUCUAUACCAUGUUCAGCUAGUUUCGUUUCCAUUCAAUUCUUUAGUAAUAUGCUGUUAGCAAACUCGAGGGCGAGUUGAUAUUGUGAGAAAUAUAUACUUCAGGUUCUAAUGAACGCUUA
rnacentral:sRNA from 1 species